rnacentral:sRNA from 1 species
AGAUGCACUCUUAUGCACCUCGAUGAUAAGGAAAUAUCAGUGUUACUAUUGAAAAGAUUAUCUUUGAUUUUCUAAAACCAACCACUUAUACUUAGUUACAAUAGAUUACUUUUAUGCAUGAAAGUGAAAUGGUUUAAUUAUUUACUUACUCUUACAACACCCUGGUUUUUGGAAAGAUUGUUAAUAAAGUGCAUUAAAUGUCAGUAUCUAAUUAAGGUUUUAUUUUGGAAGUAAUGUCUUGGGUGUUAGUAGAUAGCAAUAAAUUAAAAAGGGGGAAAACUGUUUCCCGCCUUCAAAAUUGAUUAUGUAAAUUUACUGUAAGUCCUCAAGAUUUAAUUUAAUCUGAUCAUUUUUGACUAUCCAAUUACACGUUUGUCAUGGUGUCUUUAAUCUUUGAUUAUAUAUGAUGACAGUUAAAGAUCUAUGUUUUUCUAUUUACAUUAUAUGUAAACAAUACUGAUAGCUACUUCUUUAUAUUUAGAGCUUGACUCAUGUAAAGAUUACGUAUCUUGAAUUGUUUACCUGGAUUUUGAGAGCUUUCAUUCCCUCUUUUUAUUUAUCUCUGACCUACAGUUGUGCUGUACAAGAUCUUAUAUAGAUAGAAAUGAAAUGUGCCCUCUUUUAAAUGAAUUUUAUCAUUUAUGUUUUUACUAUUUAUCUCAGUGUAUUGAAUGUCCGAUAAUAUAUGUUUAUUACAAGUAAUGAUGUUCUGCCUCUUGAAGUUUGGUAAUUAUUAUAUCAGAUUUUUUGUGAUCUUUUUAAUUGGAAUUAACGAUAAAAUUUUAUAGGAGUCGCUAACUUUUUAAAAAUGUACCAGUAAUAGAUUAUUUACUUAGUAUACAACAAAUCAAUGAAAUCCGGGUUGUUCGUAUAGUCACACAUUGAUUUAAAUGAAGGUUUUAAAAGCAUAUUGUUUUAAAAUAAACUUUCUUCAGAAACAGGGAUCAUCUUAAACAGAAUUUGAUCUUUUAUUAUGGAUAGCACAUUCUUACCAUUCGUUUUUAUGGCCAUUUUUAACUUCAUUUGGUGUCGAGUGUAACAUUGCUUGCUUUAUUGGAAGUUAUUUUUGAUUAUUUUCUUUCUAAAAGAAUAUCAUUGUGAGUGGGUGAAGCAAUUGAUGUUGAUCACAAUACCCAAUAUUCUGUUCUUACUUUUGUCAUACAGUUUUUGUUUAUUAAAAUGCUUUUACGGUC